rnacentral:lncRNA from 1 species
AAGUCUGUAGCUGAUACGUUCUCUCGAAAUUGUCCUCGGUUGAAGGGACCUGCCUUCUCCAAGGCCACAUGCCUUCCCCAGGGCAGACCAAACCAAUCACCUGAUGGUGCAGGAGUACAGAGGUUCAGCUUUUGUAUUGCAUGCAAAUACCUGCCUCAGAGUCUGCUUUCCAGACAACUGGACCUGAGAGGUCUGCCCAAGAAUCUCUCUAGAAGAAUUGGAGGAACCAAGACUGAGCCCUUGGAAUAUUUAGGUGGAAAAAGAAGUGGCUGUCACGGACAGAAAAAAACAUGGGCCAGAGGUCUACCCCUGCAAUGAGAGCUGCUAUCUCACAAAUAAAUAAAAAAUGGUGAUGACUGUCUGAGCCCGCAAGAUUUACUCACUGGCUUCUAAAACACAUCUUUCAUUUCUUUUGCUAGUGAAUAUGGCAAAUACUUCUUAGAGUAAUUGAAAAAGUUAGUUUGGCUGUUCUAGCCAACAUUUUAAAAAGGCUGAAUGAGAGUAAACAGAAUCAAUGAUUAGGUGAAGUGAUUUCCUGGGACUGUACAGAUUGAGUAUAAAGAAAUAUGGCACUUUAUCUGGGCCCAAGAUGGGUACAGCUGUUUGGGUUCUUAUUUAAUCAAUUAGGAUGAAAGGGAAAUUCUGCUUAAUAAAAUGGACUGAGUCACACACAGCUGGCUCUGGAAUGUGAUUUGGGAGCUACAUUUGCAGUUCUCUCAGCCAAAAGGACUCCCGAGUCCUCCAUAGGAUCUCAUCUAAUGUAAUUUCCUGAGAUUGGAAUAUUAAUGCUGAAAACACUACAGGCUUAGAAGCUACAUAAUAAGCCACUACAUGUGGCUUAGAAGCUCUGGUGGGCAGAACUGCACCAAAGGCACCUGAAGUAGGCAGGGCAAGCCUAAGCAUACACACACCCUGCUUGUCAAUUUCC